GUCCCCUUCUUGAAGGUCUGCCAUGCUUUGUGUUAUUCUUCAAAAUCAGUCUUUGACAAUUUGCUGGAUAAAUAAAAGAAAGGAAGAAAAAAAAGAAAGAAAGAAAGAAAAAAAGAACCACCAGCCUUAAACAUUUAACACUAGAGGUGAGCAGUAUAGGAUAGGACUUUUGCACGUCUGUGUCUUUUUCACAACACGUCUUUUGCCAUGUUGGGCACUGAAGGGGACAGACUGAAGAGGAGACCAGUGAUGGCUUCGGAAAGGCUCAGAUGAGUGAGAAGAUGCCUUGACAUCAGAGCAUCUCUUGGGCCUGGUGCAUGGUGGAACACACCUUAGGAAAUGCAGUCUGAUGUCAUAGCGGAAAAUGAUCUUCACGGGGUCCAGAAUUGGAUAACACAUCAACAAAAGAAGAAAUCUAUGUCAUCCAGCCCAAUCUUCAACAUUCUCUAUGAGUCCCAGAAAGGGUGUGUGCCUUACCUUAGGUCACACAGCUACUAAUGGUCGAGUGAAUCUCAAGCACUUAACAAUAUCAAGCUCGCUGUUCAUAGCCAGCAUCAAGAACGAUAUUUUAGGAACCUGAGAUUCUUUUUCAUAAAAACCUGCUUUGAUUUGCUCUACAUGGGGCUACUACUCUUUCACAAGGUGCCCAAAUCACCUUUCCUGCCUUGUUAUCUUUUAAAGUAAGUCUUUUUUUGAGUUUCCUUUAAGACACUUGUAUCAUCUCUCUUUCCAUUUCCUAAUAUAUCUCAUUUUAUUUUAUUUUAUUUAUUUUCCUUUUUAGGGUCGCACCCGUGGCUUAUGGAGGUUCCCAGGCUAGGGGUUGAAUCAGCGCUGUAGCUGCCGGCUUAUGCCACAGUCACAGCAACACCAGAUCCGAGCCAUGUCUGUGACCUACACUAGAGCUCAAGGCAGCACUGGAUCCUUAACCCACUGAGCAAGGCCAGGGAUCGAACCCACAACCUCAUGGUUCCUCGUUGGAUUCGUUUCUGCUGAGCCACGACGGGAACUCCUCCUAGCAUAUUUUAAAACUUUCCUGGGGAGUUCCCAUCGUGGCUCAGUGGUUA
rnacentral:lncRNA from 1 species